CAUCUUACCUGAUGGUAUUAGAGUGAUAUAAAGACGAUGUUUAAUACUGUCAGGUAAAGAUGUC
rnacentral:pre_miRNA from 1 species